AUUGAACGCUGGCGGCAGGCCUAACGCAUGCAAGUCGAGCGGCAGCGGGAAGUAGCUUGCUACUUUGCCGGCGAGCGGCGGACGGGUGAGUAAUGUCUGGGAAACUGCCUGAUGGAGGGGGAUAACUACUGGAAACGGUAGCUAAUACCGCAUAACGUCGCAAGACCAAAGAGGGGGACCUUCGGGCCUCUUGCCAUCAGAUGUGCCCAGAUGGGAUUAGCUAGUAGGUGGGGUAAUGGCUCACCUAGGCGACGAUCCCUAGCUGGUCUGAGAGGAUGACCAGCCACACUGGAACGGAGACACGGUCCAGACUCCUACGGGAGGCAGCAGUGGGGAAUAUUGCACAAUGGGCGCAAGCCUGAUGCAGCCAUGCCGCGUGUAUGAAGAAGGCCUUCGGGUUGUAAAGUACUUUCAGCGGGGAGGAAGGUGCUGAGGUUAAUAACCUCAGCAAUUGACGUUACCCGCAGAAGAAGCACCGGCUAACUCCGUGCCAGCCGCCGCAGUAA
rnacentral:rRNA from 1 species